UCAGUUCGGCUGGAUCGGUGACAGGUGCUGCAUGGCUGUCGUCAGCUCGUGUCGUGAGAUGUUGGGUUAAGUCCCGCAACGAGCGCAACCCUUGUCCUUAGUUGCCAGCAUUCAGUUGGGCACUCUAAGGAGACUGCCGGUGUCAAACCGGAGGAAGGUGGGGAUGACGUCAAGUCCUCAUGGCCCUUAUGUCCAGGGCUACACACGUGCUACAAUGGCCGGUACAAAGGGGCGCAAGACCGCGAGGUGGAGCAAAUCCCAAAAACCAGUCGUAGUCCGGAUCGCAGUCUGCAACUCGACUGCGUGAAGUCGGAAUCGCUAGUAAUCGCGGAUCAGAAUGUCGCGGUGAAUACGUUCCCGGGUCUU
rnacentral:rRNA from 1 species